AACUACCUUUAGAUGCUGUGACUCAUUAGCUGGCCCGAGAAAAACAAGUCAGAAGACAAUGAAAAAAGAGUUAGUGCCUAUAUGUGAAGAACUGUCGGGGUGGCCUAUUCAAAGGAAGAAAGCUUGGUGAAUUGCUGGUGGAGGCCACAGAUAUGGAACCCACUCAUUCAGAGGGCCAACUACCAUUGAGCCUUCAGUCUGUCCAGAAAGGAGCUGGGAAGUUGAGGAUGAAGCCAUCAGCUGGUGUAAUGUCUGGGAAAGGCUUGAUCUCUGCUUCAGGAUGAUGCCUUGUUUCUCUGUCCUCACAUGGAACAAAGUAGGAGGACAAAGAAGUUGUGUCCCCCAUUGGAAAAGGGACAAGAAGACCAAAAAAGACUAAGAGAUCCCAUUUAAUGUCUUUUAUAAGAGCAUUAAUUCCAUGCACAAAGGCAAAGGCCUCAAGGCCUAAUCAUGUCCCAAGGGACCCACCUCUUAAUAUCAUCCACUUGGGGGAGCUGAAUUCCUAUAGAUGCAUUUUGGAAGAACACAGCCAUGCCAACUCCAGUACCUAACAACAUACAAGAAUGAGGAGAGUGGUUCUAAUUUCUGAUUUCCACUAGUUGAUAUAAAUGUGAAGGAUUCCUUAACUAUGAGAAAGGAGAGAAAUAGAUUCAGAAG
rnacentral:lncRNA from 1 species